GGUAACUUUCACUUUUUUACCUCACCGCCGCCAUCGUCCUCCGCUCGUUUGCUCGCUUGCCUCUUUAGCCCGAGCCAAGAAUCCUCCAGUUCCUCGACACCCGUAGCUCUCGAGCAUCAAGAGCCCCGCGGAGAUUGAAAUGGAGAAGCCUCCAGAUUCUGGUAGUGGCGAGAAUUGGAAGCGUGAAGGGGAAAAAUCGUCAGGAGGCGGAGCGCCGUGGCCGCGAGAGCUGGUGCAGCGUGCGGAAGGGUUGAGGGUGAUCCAGAGCAUAUUCCCUGAUCAGCUCAGCGUCCCAUGCGUGCCCACUAUUUUUUGGGCAUCGAACCUUCCUCCUGAGGUAAAAUAGUUACUCGAGUGGUUCUUCACUCUAAUCUUGCUUCCAAACAGGCGGAUGUGGGGGUAUACAAGAGUGAUCCCCCAAUACCAGGCUCGACAGCAAUAGAAGGCCAGAAUGUUUUCCACUAGCCUCCGAUUAUCAAGGAGGUCGACGCCCCAGAAGUCUAGGAGGACUCCUUGACCUCGUUGGGCGACUCAUCCGCGGGUGAGGCUCCUCAGCAAUAGGAAGGAGAUGAUCAAGGGUCUCCCGCUGCUUCUGGUGCUCUAGGAGCGGAUUUGGACCGAGGGGCGAAGGGUGGCAUGGAUACUAUGAGUGCCCCUGCCCCUACCCCAGUUGUGGCAUCCCUUGGUGUUGCUGCUUCGAGUCCUGCGACCCCCCACCACUAUCAUCGGCACGGUGCACAGGGGAUUGCCGGUUCCAAAGAAGUUAAUCGCCAAGUGGGCUAAAAUAUUAGUAUCUCAUGACACAGAAUUGCGCCAAACACAUCUGAAUGCGCUAGAACACGAGACGAUCGUCAAAAUGAUCAACACAGCAAAAACCCUGGGCGGACAGGUCUGACCGGUUUCGCCGACCGGUCUGACCGGUGUAGGCAGGGAACUCGUAAAGACCUAAAACAGCGAGCUCGGGAGGGACCCCGUCGGAGCUCGUGAUCAUAGGGUGGCUCUGAGGUCGGCAGGCUACUCAGAACGUCUUCAAACGCCGUCGAGACGAAGGAAGAAAGCAAUCUAGGGUUGGA